UCCCAGUUAGCUCAGCUGGUAAAGAAUCGGCCUGCAAGGCAGGAGACCUGGGUUCGAUCCCUGGGUUGGGAA
rnacentral:tRNA from 1 species